CGAACGGGUGAGUAACACGUGAGCACCUACCUUACACAGGGGGAUAGCCGUUGGAAACGACGAUUAAUACCGCAUGAGACCACAGAAUCGCAUGAUAUAGGGGUCAAAGAUUUAUCGGUGUAAGAAGGGCUCGCGUCUGAUUAGCUAGUUGGAAGGGUAAAGGCCUACCAAGGCGACGAUCAGUAGCCGGUCUGAGAGGAUGAACGGCCACAUUGGAACUGAGACACGGUCCAA
rnacentral:rRNA from 1 species